UUACACUCACCUCUUCGCAUUCAAGGCCACUGACAAUGAAGUUCUCACACUCCCUGCAUUUUGAAGGGCCCCGCAGCUUCCGCAGCCGAUGCUUACCUUGCAAGAAAUAUGGACCUUCCUGCAAUGAACGUCUUCGGAAAUGAAGAAAUAUACAAGUGCCUACUUUAUAUCCUCCAGCAUUUCUCAGAUGGGAACAGGUGGACCAACAGCAAAAAGUGGUCAUGAAAAAGUUAUAAAAAAGGAAGAACAUAUAGGCUAAGAGACUGCAGCACUUUGUUUCUCCCUGAACCUGCAGGAAAGAGCAACAAAGUUCUGUCCCCUUCUCUCCACCCUGCUGAUUUUUUUUUAGUGCAACCUAAUGUUUCAUGGUAAACCCCAUUAACAACAAAAUAAUCUAAUAAGGUGGGAGAAGACAAGAGAAAUUAGGUAAUUUUAAAAGCAGCUGAAAACAUUGGGACAGCAGAUUAGGUAGAACUGUCCCUGCCAAAGCAGUAUAUAAAUACAAUUAAUUAAUCAAUCUUGGGAGACUUCUCGAAUGCAGGCAUUUGGCUGGAUAUGGCAAUGAGAGUAUUCUUAGCUUCAACUUAACUUCAUAUUUAUUUUAUAUCCCGCCUUUCUCAGAGGACAGAAUUAAAGGCAGUUCAAUUUUUUGGAGAACAGUGAUUUGAUAAUGUUGUGCAUACAAGUUGGAUUACUGUUACAUGCAAUUCUCCGAUCAAGCCAAGAAGCCUACCUGGAAAUACUGCUUUUGGCAGUAUGAGCAUUCUUUAUUGUCCAAGUUAUGAAAAAAGGAGCAGGAUAUAAACAGGAACAAGAAGUACUGCCUCUCACCUGGACUGGAACUGAACGAAUCCAAGAACUGGCAUUCAGUGCUCCCUCCCAGGCUUUCUGUGUCACUGUAGAAGGAUUUGUUGGCACCUGGACAACAGAACAAAGCCAAGACUGUGUAUAAUUCUGUUUCCACGGCAAUAGAGGAAGCAUGAGUACCAUUGUUGACCACAGUUCUAGUCCACAUUUAUAUUGCUCCACUGUCGUUGUAUGAGCUUGAACUUACGAAAGCCAUUUCUUCACCUCAGAGAGAAGACAAUGGUUAACUUCAGGAGGAGGUACACAGAUACUGAUGGCAUUCUCCGGAGACCAUGGUUUGGAUGCCUGUUCAGUCAUGGAAACCCACUGUGUGAUCUUGGCCGUGUCACACUUUCUCAGCCUCUGAGGAAGGCAAAGGUAAGUUCUCUCUGAACAAAUCUUGCCAAAAAAACUCACAAUUGAAUUGCCAUAGGGUUUCCAUAAGUUGGAAACAGCUUGAAUGCACACAAGAGCAGCAAAUAUUUAGUCAUGUCGAGUCAUGCUACUAAUUAGCAAACACGGGGAAAUAAUUGGUAUUAUAAUUCUUUACAUCAAUCUUUGACAUGUCUCAUUUGGCAGAUCUCAGUUUAAUAUACUGAAUCAUAGAUGGUUGGGAUCAAGUUCAAAUAUUUGCCAUGCAAAACGAAGCACAGCUAAAAAUAUUUUAGUUUAAGAA